rnacentral:rRNA from 1 species
GUUGUACACGUUAACUGGUUGGUGGUUUAUUAACAUCGGGGGUUCAUAAUAAUUCGGCUCCAAGAAUUUGGCAAGUAACUUGUAUAACUUUGGGAUAACAAUGGUGUUUAUCGGGCGACUGUAUAGCAAAUACACAGGGUUUAGUUAAAGAUGUUUAUAUUUUAGAGCUGAUAUGUGACCAGUAUUUAUAGGCUCAUAGUUGUUUUGCGAUGCCUCUACAAACGUUGGCCGUAACUAUAACGGUCCCAAGGUAGCAAAUUUCCUUGUCGUUUAAGUAACGACCUGCAUGAAGGAUGGAACGAUUCGAUAGCUGUCUUGCGUACAUGUGCUGGUGAAAUAUUAGGUAGUGUGAAGAUACGGUAACAAUGUUAUGGGACAAAAAGACCCUGUGAAGCUUUAUA